AUGGUAAAAACACAGUUUUUGAAAGCAAUGCUCUUCCCUUUUGUAGACGGAUGGCUAGUCACCUUAAUCAUCUAUAGACAAAAAUUUACUAAAAAAUCACAGGGUGACGCUAAUAGCAAUUGGGUGUCAAGUUGGUAAUUUUAUAUAACUCGGAGAACACCUUAACUGACUUUGCAAAGUCUUAAACCAAAACAAGCAAGAUGGAUUUGGCUUGGUGGUGGGGAACUUAAGCUAUAGCUUUUUAAGAAAAAACUAUUUUUAUUUUUUUAAAAUUUAUUUGUUCUUUUAAAAGCUAACUUUUAGAUGGCAAGCAGAUAAGCCGAAUCGAGAACGUAGCUAUUUAAAAUCCAUUUAUAAACUGCGAUUAUAUUUGAAACUUAGAACUAAAAGAGGGAAUUAGCAAGUGCAACAAAUGGCAAUCUAAAUGAGAGAUCACAAAACCUUUAACUGCUUAAUCUGUCUUUCCAAAGCGUUGACAGUUGAGUAUUUUUACAUGUAACAAGUAAAACAAAGUUGCGAGGACACCCUUGAGGGUUGUACGGCAGCUCGACCUUUUCAACUAAGCUUCUUCAUAAACCUCGCUUAAGUUCAAUUUGCAAGGGUAGAUCUAUGAAAAUUGACACUAAACGGCGGGCUUGGUCUUUGAAAAAAUCUCUGAAUCCAAUUCUGAAACCAACUAUUGGGCUGUAAAGUACAGUUUAACGUAGGAAGUGUUUUCGCAGAAAAAAAACAAAUCUAUUUUUAGCUUCAGAGUUUUGUCCGUUAAAGGGUGUCAAAAGGUUCCAUUCUGGUCUUUGUAGCUGACCAUUACUCAACCAAGAAGUAGUGAUGAUCUUUCGCACGCACCUAUUCUUCAAUUAGCGUACAAUUAAAAGUCAUCCUCCAAGGAAUAAGCCCAUGCUAUGAACGCAUACGGCAGUACCUGCCGUAUAUUACCAUGUAAAGGAGAAGGUACUUGGGUAUGAAUUUUCCACGGGAUAAUUUGGCCAAAUAAAUUUAGUUUACGAGUGUUGGAAGUUCUUCUUCUCCUAGAGAUAAAUAAGGACUGUGACUUGGAACUGCAAUUCAUAGCGAGGUCGUCAGAGUAUUGAGCGAUAGAUAUUGCUUAAGCUGGGGCUACAGGAUACAUACAAUGAACAGUAAUAGUCACAUUGAAGCUCCUUUUGGUGCACCGGUAGUUUGUCUUUGUUAGAACUCGAUGCCUUAAUAAAUGAUUUCCUGCCCCUUGAAGUGGGCGUUCACUAGUA